AUUGAACGCUGGCGGCAGGCCUAAAACAUGCAAGUCGAACGAGUGGCGGACGGGUGAGUAAUGUCUGGGAAACUGCCUGAGGGAGGGGGAUAACUACUGGAAACGGUAGAUAAUACCGCAUAACAUCAGAUGUGCCCAGAUGGGAUUAGCUAUUUGGUGGGGUAAAGGCCUACAAAGGCGACGAUGCGUAACUGGUCUGAUAGGAUGAUCAGUCACACUGGAACUGAGACACGGUCCAGACUCCUACGUGAGGCAGCAGUGGGUAAUAUUGGACAAUGGGCGAAAGCCUGAGCCAGCCAUGCCGCUUGUGUGAAGAAGGUCUUCGGAUUGUAAAGCACUUUCAGCGGGGAGGCGUUACCCGCAGAAGAAGCACCGGCUAACUCCGUGCCAGCAGCCGCGGUAAUUC
rnacentral:rRNA from 1 species